rnacentral:rRNA from 1 species
UACGAAGGGGGCGAGCGUUGUUCGGAAUUACUGGGCGUAAAGGGCGCGUAGGCAGCCGAUCAAGUUAGAUGUGAAAGUCCUGGGCUUAACCUGGGGACUGCAUUUGAUACUGAUUGGCUUGAAUUCGGGAGAGGAUAGCGGAAUUCCCAGUGUAGAGGUGAAAUUCGUAGAUAUUGGGAAGAACACCGGUGGCGAAGGCGGCUAUCUGGACCGACAUUGACGCUGAGGCGCGAAAGCGUGGGGAGCAAACAGG